rnacentral:rRNA from 1 species
AUUGAACGCUGGCGGCAGGCCUAACACAUGCAAGUCGAGCGGAGUGGCGAACGGGUGAGUAACACGUGGGUGACCUGCCCUGCACUUCGGGAUAAGCCCGGGCAACUGGGUCUAAUACCGGAUAGUGUGGGAUGGGCCCGAGGCAGAUCAGCUUGUUGGUGGGGUAAUGGCCGACCAAGGCGGCGGCGGGUCGCCGGCCUGAGAGAGUGGACGGCCACAUUGGGACUGAGAGACGGGCCAGGCUCCAACGGGGGGCAGCAGUGGGGAAUAGUGCACGAUGGGCGGAAGACUGAUGCAGCGACGCCGCGUGGGGGAUGGCGGCCUUCGGGUUGUAAACUCCUUUCACCAUCGACGCGGUAGAUGGAGAAGAAGCACCGGCUAACUACGUGCCAGCAGCCGCGGUAAUAC